GGGUAUUCCAAUACAGUUGAAUUUAUUAAAUUUAUCCAAAAGUUAAGUUCGUUUUCCACGCAGCACGUUGUUCUAGGAAAUAGGAAACAACCUAACGAAAUAUCAGUAGCAAUGUCGUCUAGCACAGUACAGAGCGUAACAAAGCACUACACGUACAACGUGAACAGUAAACGGGUGCAGAUUGGGAACGACAAUGUGAUUAAUGUGAACGAUUACCGUAAAGCCGAGAUGCAAGACCGUAACACGAUUGAAGAGCAUAACCAAUUGAAGGUUGAUGUGGCCGAACUCCGUAAAACGAUAAGUAUCCUUGAGGAGAAGGUCGCUGAAAUAGAAAGAACUUACGGUGCAAAGAUUCAUGAAGUACCUACAAAAUGUAGAUGUUCCUGUUGUCCGCUGAAGAAUGCUAGACCAAUCUGUUGCCAUGACGUUCACCACAUGGUGUCAAGAAUGGGAGCAAACAAAUGCAUUACCAAAAUGCCCUUUUUUAGGCGCGAAUGUCUAAGUAUUCCCUAUCUGGAAAAAGUUUUUCACAAAUAUUCCGGCAAAGGAAGAUAUAUACGUUACCGGUCUACAGCAUAUAGGCAUUUCGUGAGGCGUAUGUAUGGCAUACGUGGAAGAGGACACAGUGUGGACCUCCCUGCAUGUGUUAUACAUGCUGUAACCUCGUCCGUUCAAAAUUAAAGAAAAAUGUUGGUGUCCGCCACUUAUACAUAUAAAAUAAAUCUGUCUAUUGCAGGUCUUUGUUUAGGCCUGAAAUGUUAUAUAAACUAUUAGUUAAGACAUUUAUUAACAACACAAGACAAUAAUCAACUCUUGAUGGCAUCAGAUACUAGAGAUUUUGACUAGAUUAGAACGGUUUGCCAUUUAAAAAUUUAAUUUAAAAAUGGGAAAGCGAGGCUGUCUCGAAUACACCAGUGCCUUGGUUACCAGAAUGGACACUUCUUGUCAAAACUACAAACAAUAACUUGGCUGAGAAUGUAGUAAUUUGAAAGAAAUGUUCAAUAUUUUCAUUUUACAUUAUCUAUUUUGAAGCUAUUAUAGCAAGAAUGGUCAGCUCUUUAUCUAAGUCUGACAUUAUGCAUCUUUAAAUAUAGAUUUGGAAUCUGUUUAACCAUUUCUAUCACAUAUGUAAAACUGGUGGACACGAACAUGUUUGCCCUUUAGAAAGUAGAAGCAAAUAUAAAUAUAUCUUAGUGUCAGGGCUAUUUUAUACGAGAUACACAUAGAAAAAAACACCUUUUCCUUCUUUAUCGUAUAGUAAGAAUUCGAUAUACUCGUCGCUAUUCUAUUCUUUUAUAAAUCAAAUAGUUAUUCGUCCAGAAAAUCACCCAUCGAUGGAUUUUAAUAUAUAGUUAAGCUGAUAUUUAAACAUUUGUUUGCAACAUGUAGUUGAAAGACAUACAACUAAGUCUUCCUAGUAUGAAAUAUUGUCCUUGACCUUUGGCAAACACCUCGUCCGACUCAAAUCAAUAAUUUCAAAAGAAAUUUACAAAGUGUGCAUAGAUUGUCGUCCGUUUUCUAAAUCCUUAGGAAUUACCAUUCAGUGUAUAGUCAUGGUGAAACCCUAUUACUAUAUCCGUUUAACCAUAGUAAACAUUGUCAUUCAUCUUCUCAACCCCUCUAUUUAAUUUCUUUACAGUCAUACAGUAUAUUUAUAUAAUUUUGUACCUUGUCAUUCAUUAAUCAAAUUGUAAUUUGAAAUACAAUGGUAAUUUUCAGUUCAUUCACUGUGUUGUAUUAUAUGUGAAUUGAUUAAACUGUGUCAUGUGCAA